rnacentral:lncRNA from 1 species
GCGGGGCACGCGUACAUGCUGGAGGUGAUGUGUCGGGGUGCACAGAUAUGGAAUCAAAGCGGAUAUAUGUUGGAGGUCUUUACCAUGAAGUGACAGAAAAGGAUCUGAACCAGCUCUUUUCAAAAUUUGGAAAUGUUGAGAGUGUGGAAAUAAAGCAGCGUGCUGAGAGCAAUGUUGUCAAUUAUGUAUUUGCAUAUGUUAAUGUCAAAACUACAAGCUCAGAUGUUACAAAAUGCUUCAAAAGACUAAAUGGCACAUUUUGGAAGGGCAAGCGUCUGAAACUGGAGCUGGCCAAGGAGUCCUUCCUCUCCAAACUGCAAAAGGAGCGCGAGCAGAAUGCACCAAGGCACAAUGGUGCUGCAACCAGCCGGCCCACGCCCCCAGCCCCGCCGAAACGGAAGUCCCUGCAAGAGAGCAUCAUCGAUGACGUGUUAGCCACCAAGCGGCAACAGAGCGGCGGCGCGCCCGCUGCGCGGCGCAUAGUCGACUUCUGCUCUCCUGAGGAUGGCGCCACUGGCGCCGAUGGCCAGCAGCGGCCGUCGCCGGGCGCAGGCGAGCGUUCCCUGGGAGAAGCGGC